CUUCCUCUCUUCAAUUUGACCUAUCUCUUCAUUCUAAACAUACACAUCUCCCCCCACCUAUCCACAAAUACUACCAAUACAUUCUCAAAUUUUCAUCCACACCAGAAAAACCCUUCGAAUGAGCAACACACAAACAC